rnacentral:rRNA from 1 species
CAAUAGCGUAUAUUUAAGUUGUUGCAGUUAAAAAGCUCGUAGUUGGAUUUCGGGUGGGACGCAGCGGUCUCGCAUUGCGUUUGUACUGCUGCAGCCCUCCUUCUUGCCGGGGGCGGCCUCUCGGACUUCACUGUCUGGGGGUCAGAAUCGGCGAUGUUACUUUGAGUAAAUUAGAGUGUUCAAAGCAAGCUUACGCUCUGAAUAUAAUAGCAUGGGAUAACACGACAGGACUCUGGCCUAUCGUGUUGGUCUAUAGGACCAGAGUAAUGAUUAAGAGGGACAGUCGGGGGCAUUCGUAUUCCGUUGUCAGAGGUGAAAUUCUUGGAUUUACGGAAGACGAACAUCUGCGAAAGCAUUUGCCGAGGAUGUUUUCAUUGA